GGGAUGUGAUGAGUGGUCAUAAAUCGCUAAUUAUAAUGCGAGAUGAGUGUCCGCCCUAAGCCAGUUACGACAACUGGGCACUCUCAUCAGAACCAUCUGAUCCC